UACGGGGGGGGCAAGCGUUGUUCGGAAUUACUGGGCGUAAAGGGCUCGUAGGCGGCCAACUAAGUCAGACGUGAAAUCCCUCGGCUUAACCGGGGAACUGCAUCUGAUACUGGAUGGCUUGAGUUUGGGAGAGGGAUGCGGAAUUCCAGGUGUAGCGGUGAAAUGCGUAGAUAUCGGGAAGAACACCCGUGGCGAAGGCGGUUCUCUGGGACGGUACUGACGCUGAGACGCGAAAGCGUGGGGAGCGAACAGG
rnacentral:rRNA from 1 species